rnacentral:rRNA from 1 species
AGUACGUGAAACUGCUUAGAGGUUAAGCCCGAUGAACCUGAAUAUCCGUUAUGGAAAAUUCAUCAUUAAUUAUAUAAUAUUUAUCAUAUUAUUAUAAAUAGUGUGCAAUUUUUCCAUAUAAGGACAUUGUAAUCUGUUAAUGUAAUAAAUAUUUAUUAAAAGAUCUUAUACACAAGUUUAUUUGAAUUAGUUAUUUUCGAAUUUCUAACAUAAAAUAAUGGUAUUUGAUUUAAUAAAUCAUUGACAGAUUUUAUUAUAUAUAGUGUUUAAAUUUUCUUUGUAAAAUUUUACAAUAGCAUGAUAAUUCUAUUUAUUAUGUUUAUUGUAUGCGCUUAUAUGAUUAACAAUGCGAUAGAUUCAGGAUACCUUCGGGACCCGUCUUGAAACACGGACCAAGGAGUCUAACAUAUGUGCAAGUCAUUGGGUAUUUUUAAUAAAACCCAAUGGCGUAAUUAACUUAACUGUUUUUAAUAUAUGGGAUUAGUUUAAAUUUUAUUAUGAAAUAUAAAUUCAAUCCCGGGGCGUUCUAUAUAGUUAUGUAUAAUGAUAUUUAUAUUAUUUAUACCUCUAACU